GGUGAAAGCUUUGAGGGAACAAAUUGAUUAGUGGGAUUAGAGAUAUACCAUAGAGACCUUGUAAUCGGUUUCGUUAGUCUCAUAGACCGCAUGGACACCGGUACCGCACGUGAAACAUUGCGAACGACGUUAACAACGGAGAAGGACAUAAUUUUAAUGAGUGAAAACUGAUAGCUUCUUAUGAACUGAUGUUUAAAAAUGAUUUUACUUUACGAUAUCGAAGUGAUCUUAACUACCACCCACAAAUUUCCGCACGCUUAAAGAAAUGUUACCGUAACAAUCAGAAUAUUCUAGGCUUGUACUCCACGAGGGCGCUUCGAUUAAAUCGAUUCUUUUCAGGCGAUAGUCGGGUUCUUUUUGAUUACGAUAUCUUUGUUUAUGUUUCUGUGCAUGGCCUGUUUCUGUGUUAAGGCUUUAAUGUUCCUACGGUUAAGGCAUACAUUUUUUGGUGAAUUGGCUCGCACUUUGCAUUUUGUGUUCAAUGUAAAACAGGUGUAGGGAAGUGUACCUCCGGGGCCAUCCAAUACGGGGUUCCAACCAUCGUUUGUCGCUUUUCAUCUCCUUGGAUAUUUGCGCAAAAUCCAAAAUCUGUCACUUUAACAGUACCAUCCAGGCCCAGUAAAAUAUUGUCUGAUUUGAUAUCCCUAUGAAUAAUACCCUUAAAGAAAUAAAUACAAAUGUGUUUAUAAUGGUA